UACGGAGGGUGCAAGCGUUAUCCGGAUUUACUGGGUUUAAAGGGUGUGUAGGCGGAUUUUUAAGUCAGUGGUGAAAUCCCGGGGCUCAACCCCGGAACUGCCAUUGAUACUAUUGGUCUUGAAUACUGUGGAGGUGAGCGGAAUGUGUCAUGUAGCGGUGAAAUGCAUAGAGAUGACACAGAACACCGAUAGCGAAGGCAGCUCACUACGCAGUCAUUGACGCUGAGGCACGAAAGCGUGGGGAUCAAACAGG
rnacentral:rRNA from 1 species